rnacentral:ncRNA from 1 species
CACCUUUCUCGGAAUCCUGAAAAGGAUAACUGCGGAAAUUCUGGAGCUAAUACAUGCGACUAUACUCCAACGCAAGGCGGGGUGCAAUUAUUAGAACAGACCAAACGUUUUCGGACGUUGUUUGUUGACUCUGAAUACCGUCGUUUACUGUCAGUUUCGACUGACUCUAUCCGAGAAGGGUGUCUGCCCUUUCAACUAGAUGGUAAUCUAUUGGACUACCAUGGUUGUUACGGGUAACGGAGAAUUAGGGUUCGACUCCGGAGAGGGAGCCUUAGAAACGGCUACCACGUCCAAGGAAGGCAGCAGGCGCGAAACUUAUCCUCUGUUGAGUAUGAGAUAGUGACUAAAAAUAUAAAGACUCAUCCUUUUGGAUGAGUUAUUUCAAUGAGUUGAAUAUAAAUUAUUCUUCGAGUAGCAAGGAGAGGGCAAGUCUGGUGCCAGCAGCCGCGGUAAUUCCAGCUCUCCUAGUGUAUCUCGUUAUUGCUGCGGUUAAAAAGCUCGUAGUUGGAUCUAGGUUACGUGCCGCAGUUCGCAAUUUGCGUUAACUGUGGUCGUGACUUCUAAUUUGCUGGUUUGAGGUUGGGUUCGCCCUUCAACUGCCAGCAGGUUUACCUUGAAUAAAUCAGAGUGCUCAAUACAGGCGCUUGCUUGAAUAGCUCAUCAUGGAAUAAUGAAACAGGACUUCGGUUCUUUUUGUUGGUUCUAGAAUUGAUCUAAUGGUUAAGAGGGACAAACCGGGGGCAUUCGUAUCAUUACGCGAGAGGUGAAAUUCGUGGACCGUAGUGAGACGCCCAAUAGCGAAAGCAUUUGCCAAGAAUGUCUUCAUUAAUCAAGAACGAAAGUCAGAGGUUCGAAGGCGAUUAGAUACCGCCCUAGUUCUGACCGUAAACGAUGCCAUCUCGCGAUUCGGAGGGUUCAUGCCCUACCGAGGAGCUACCCGGAAACGAAAAGUCUUUCGGUUCCGGGGGUAGUAUGGUUUGCAAAGCUGAAAACUUAAAGAAAUUGACGGAAAGGGCACCAACAGGCGUGGUAGCUUGGCGGCUUAAAUUUGACUCAACACGGGGAAA